AGAAGGCGGCAAAACCCAACCAUCAAUUCUAGCAAAAUCACGCAAGCCAAGUCGCUGAAAUAGUAAUGACGCUCCUUCACGGAUCUUUGAGAUCACAUCCAUAGAGAAUCUAGGUGGAGUGUGAUAAGCAACCUGUCGAGUAGGGAGAUACUUCCUUCGGUAGUUAAAUAUUGCAUCUUUCUCGCUAACAUCAACAGUGCCAUGUGAUUGAAGCUCCACCUCUGUCGGCAAUAAUACAACAGGCUGGCAAUUAAAACCAGAACCUACAUCAAGGACAAUUGCGGUAAACUCACUGCCUCCUUCAAGGAAAAUCUCAAUAAGGACUUUGUCAUCUAUCCCCUCAGAAAUAACUCUGUUAGCUUUUGUCAGAGAAUCAGAGACACCAUAGGCAACACUAACUCCAAUGCUUGAUCCUGCCCUUGUUGGCUUUACCACCACUUUUCCCGACUUAAUAUCCAGUAGAUUUUGCUCAAACCACUUCGACAGUCCAG
rnacentral:misc_RNA from 1 species